CCAAUAGCGUAUAUUAAAGUUGCUGCAGUUAAAAAGCUCGUAGUUGAAUUUCGGGACCAUCAUGUCGGUCGUGCCUCGGUACGUACUGGCAUUGUUGGUUUCUCCCUUCUGACGAACCAUGAUGUCAUUUAUUUGGUGUUGUGGGGAAUCAGGACUGUUACUUUGAAAAAAUUAGAGUGUUUAAAGCAGGCUCACGCUUGAAUACAUUAGCAUGGAAUAAUGAAAUAGGACGUUUGAUUCUAUUUUGUUGGUUUCUAGGAUCGACGUAAUGAUUAAUAGGGAUAGUUAGGGGCAUUAGUAUUCAAUUGUCAGAGGUGAAAUUCUUGGAUUUAUUGAAGACUAACUACUGCGAAAGCAUUUGCCAAGGAUGUUUUCAUUAAUCAAGAACGAAAGUUAGGGGAUCGAAGACGAUCAGAUACCGUCGUAGUCUUAACCAUAAACUAUGCCGACUAGGGAUCGGAUGAUGUUAAUUUUUUAAUGACUCAUUCGGCGCCUUACG
rnacentral:rRNA from 1 species